AUGAGAAUGUCUAUUACUGUGGUGACAAGAAAAUGGUCAGGGAUUAAAAAUGGAGGUUUUGUGCCCUUUUCUCUGAUGGCUGAGCUGGGCUGUUCCCUGGUGCAGGCAGCACUGACUCAGCCAGCCUCGGUGUCAGCAAACCUGGGAGAAGCUGUCAAGAUCACCUGCUCCGGGGGUGGCAGCUGGAGUGGCUGCUAUUAUGGCUGGUACCAGCAGAAGUCACCUGGCGGUGCCCUUGUCACUGUGAUCUAUCGCAACACCUAC